UCCGGUGUAUUUUCUUAAGAAACUUUUUAACCAAAAAUUCUCCCUGCUUCCCCAAGAAAAGUAUUCUUAUCCAAAUUUUAAGUCUGGUAUCAUCAGAAAAAUCAUUUUGAGAUGGUAGUCCAUUGGUGUUGUGUUUGCUACAAUCUGCGCUAGAGUUGACUUCAUACUUGGCCUUUAGUUUGCGAAUAAUUGAAAACCGCAAAUUGGCAGGAAAGCCAUUCCAAGACAUAAAUUUGGAAAUCAUAGAGAUUUGUUUGUUGAUAAAAGUCAAGUUACUACAUAUAUUCACAGCCCGGUGAAAAAGCGCCCUAACCCAUGCCGUUUUGCGUGACCAAGGCUCAAAACUGUCAAAACGGGUGUACUGACCUGUGUGUGUUGACUUCCGAAAAAUAUCAAUGUCGGAAAUUUCUAAAUCUAAAAAAUGAAUUUUGCCGUUCUCAAAAUUAUCUACCGUGAAUUUCAGAUUUUUGUCAAAACUGUUAAAUUUUUUCAAAACAAAAGGAAUGUCUUUAGGCUUGAUCAAAACAAGAGUGUCGUCUACAUAGCGGCGAUAAAAUGUUAUAAUUCCAGUCUUUAUUAAUUCAUUAACAAUGGCUUUUUCAAAUUCAGUUAGUAUUAUAUUUGCUAAGACCGGAGCUAAACAAAAACCCAUAGAAACACCAUCGGUUUGCUCAUAGAAAAUGUUGUUUUCGAAAAGGCUGUUUUCGUGGCGCAGUCUAAC
rnacentral:lncRNA from 1 species